UCAUGGGAAACAGAAAGCCAGUAGCUGAGCUGAUAGCAUCGCUGGAGCAAGCAACACUCAUGUCUCAUCAAAUUGGAACCGCCGUGGAACGAAACCAGCUCCUUCAAAUCUCCUCCUCUCUCCGCACAGCCCACCACCGCCUCUCCACCUUGCUCUUGUCCACCGUUCCAUCGCCGGCAUCUGAUAACUCUGUCUCCUCCGUCGACUAUAUAAGACUAUCUGUUUAGAUUGCUUCUGCUCUUCAAACUUUCCCAUGCUUCCCAAUUCUGCCAUCGUUCCCAUUUGAAUACAAAUCAAAGCUUUAUUGUCCCUUUGGGUUUUAAUUUGACCUGAGUGAAGAGAGGAAACAAAUACUUCACUGAGCCAUGAAGCUCUUUGUAUAUCAUCAUCAAAACAGAAGAGUCCAGGAUGAGAGAUGAAUAGAACUUUACCUCAUCUGAAACUCUCUCAAGUGUCAGCCAGAUCAGGAGACUGUUUACCUGCACAUAGAGAUUAAGAAAGAUAGAAAACUUUAUGGACUAGAAGACAAACACACAAACUAAAAAAAAAUUGAGUUGAUAUGAGAUGAGAUGAAAACAACAUCUAACAGAAUCAAAAAGGAAUGCAGUUUCCGCACGACAUAUCAAAUCUGAGUGGUUUCUAGAUGCAGGACUAUCAUUAAAUGCUUCUCCCUCUCCCCUAAUAUAGUAGUAAAAGUAUAUAUAACAUAUGAGAAUAAACACAAGCAAACUCAUUGACAGCCACGGAAUGAAUAUAUAUUCAAACACUCCUAAGAAAGAAACAAUCAUUGUCAAUGCCAAAACUUUCCAAUACUCGCAAAGGUUAGUGUUGUGAUUGGAGCCAAUUCCUUAAAGAAAAAAGGGGGAAGGUGCAAGUUGUAUUGUUUUUGUUAAUGAAUUUGGUGAUGGACAGUUACAGCAGACUUUUCUUUGAAGACAAGUCAACGCCCAAAGUCUUAAUUCAUUUAGACAACCACUUUGUAGCGUAUAGUAAAGCAUUAAUCACUGUAAGCAAGUAAAGAUGCCGAGUGGGUUUUGAGGUGUGUUUUACCUUGUUGGGUUUUUAGCAGUUGACUUUGAGAAAUGAUGCAUCCAUUGAGAAACACAACUUGGAACUCUGAAAUACACAGAGGAGAUUCUGUAAGUGUGUAUGCAUGUACAACAAGGUAAGCUAAGAUUUUCUUGAAUUAUUAUUGAUCUUUCAAGUUAAAUAUCAAAAGGAAAGGGGGAGGGAAAUAAAAACAGAAACAAAGAAUCUAAUGAGUUUAGAAACUGAUGAAGACCAGAAAUGAGAUAAACUACUUACUUUCUGAAUUACAGAAUUGUCUUGUAUCGGUGAGUAAAAGCAAUAACUUUGGUAAAAGAAAAGCAAAACUGAGUUUGAGAUCACUACUUUUUUUUAUUAGUCAUCACUUUAGCUCUCUCGCUCUCUCUCUCUCUCUCUUUUUUAUAUUGUGACUAUUAUAAACAUCAACCACAAAGAAGAAGCCGACCUUUAAGAAGAUUCAGAAUCGCAAUAUAAUUAUCAUUCAAUCUUUUUUUUUGUUACCCAAAAAACAAAAGGAUUUUAACUUUAGAGGUGUUCUUUUAAACCCAGAAAGAAAAAGCUCGAUGAAUGAGAGAAGUAGAUUCAAAAUUGUGGAUUUGGAACUUUGGAAUCAGAAUGAAUGAAUUAAUUUUAAUAAACCACUUCUUGAAAGAAAGAUAAUCAAAGCAAUUAUGGGAGACAAAAGUUGAGAUUUAGAACAUUGUUUUCGUGAAUAAUAGUAAUACAUACUUACUUGCCCAGCAGACACGACAAGGACGCCAAAAAAUGUUUUGUUAAUGUGAUCAAGAAGAACCUAAUAAAGCUGGGAGAGCUGUUGAGAGAUCUUGCAGAAACAAAUACAAACUGCUCACUUCUCUUCCUCAAAAAAAAAAAGACUAUUAAAUUAAAACACAAACACCUCCUCCUCCUGUCUUUUUUUGCUCAUAUAUUUAAAUAUUUGAAUAUUUUCAAAUCACAAACACCAUCUAGAGAGAGAGAGAGAAUAUUUAUUAGAGGUCCAAAGUAGGACAGAGUACAAAACUAAAGACGACUUCGAUCAAAUCCCGAUCUCUGUUUAAAAUCCUUAUUUCUUUACUUUGCUUAUUUACUUUCUUUCAAAAAUAUGAAAAUUAUGGAAACAUAAUAUACUAUUACAGUAGUGUCGGGUCGAUCUGCUCCCAAGAAAAGCCCUACGCCCUUAAAAGCGGUAACUUUUUUUCCUGUGAUCCAACGGCUGUUAUUGAUCUUACCAGAUUCAUUUGACCCGUUAGAUCUGUUUAACGUUACACAACUCAUUGACAUGUCUUGUUUCGUAGGACCGUUCGAUCUGCUUCAAACUGAGCUACUUUACUGGGAUGUGCUACGUGUCGCUCCGAUUUCGAUUUCUUUUCUGAAUCCAAAGACUGAAUGCUCCAAUUACUAUCAUGUGCUUCUACUUUAGUGGUAUUACAAAAAAUGCCACACAUAGCAACAUGUGCGACUCGCGUGAGCUAUGGGCUAAUGGACCCCAAUUAAUUUUUCUAACAAUCUAUUUUCUUUCCUUUAUUCCUUGAAUAACUCUAAUGACACCCAAGUUUUCAACUUUCAAGAGUUGCUACUUGUCGCCAAAAAAAAAAAAAAGAGUUGCUACUUUGGCAUACAAACACACAAACAACUGUUAUUAUAUUUAAAAGUUUUAAACAAUGGUUGCUUCACGUGACAGAUUCUUUAUUCUCGUCCUAUCUGAUCAUCAAAAAGUAUUAAAAUAAAGAAAGUGUGAGCAUUUAAAAAUAAAUAAAAACCUAUAUAUUGACAACUAGUAAAUUUCGAAUGAGAAUGGUAAACUCUUGAAUCGCCAAAAAAAAAACAAGACUACGUUUUGUGAAUAACUUUAGAUUAUGAUAAUUACACUUCUUUGAAGAGUGAAUAUGCAUGAAUGUGCUAUUUGAUUUAUUAUGUUAUCGUAACAAUAAUUUGAAAUUCAAUUUGGCCAUGUGAUGUCGCUUUCGAACUACUAAUUAUUUUUUCGAAUCAUUAAAUGCAGAAAAAAUAUACAUCUUCAAACCCUCUAACACGGAGGACACUUUAUUUGUUAUAAAGAUAAAACGUCUGGGGAAAAAAGUGUACAUGCAAUGUAAAUGAUUACAUAAAAGCCAAACAUAUAGUAUCAACAUAAUUCAUUGGCAACCUUUUUCGCUCUGGUGUUAUUGCAAAGGACGACCAUAUAAAAUCAGCUGGAUUUGGAUUUGAAGAGAUCCAUUUUAGGAGGAGAGUAAUCUAGUUUGCCCCCUUUAACAAAAGUAAUCUAAUUUACCCCGGUCAGAAAAAAAAAUUAUUUUCGAUAUCCCUUCUUCUUUAUUCUGAAUACCCCUUCUUUAAACAGAUUACAAACCUCGCGAGUAGGCUUUAUUUGCACAAGUAAAGCCCAUUUAUAAAAAGAGAGAAAAAGGCCCAAAAAGGCAAGUACUUGGUCUCUUCUUCCGACCAAACUCUGGUACUUGCUGCUGUGAUUCUCUGUUAAAAGAAUCUAAAACACACAAAAUAUCUGGAGAAAAUUUAGAAAGAGAGUAAGGUCAUGGGAAACAGAAAGCCAGUAGCUGAGCUGAUAGCAUCGCUGGAGCAAGCAACACUCAUGUCUCAUCAAAUUGGAACCGCCGUGGAACGAAACCAGCUCCUUCAAAUCUCCUCCUCUCUCCGCACAGCCCACCACCGCCUCUCCACCUUGCUCUUGUCCACCGUUCCAUCGCCGGCAUCUGAUAACUCUGUCUCCUCCGUCGAUCCGAUGCAAUUAGGGGAGGGCGAGGCUGAAGCGAUGGAAGAUGAGAGAGACUCGGCGGUGGAGAAGGUGGAGGAGAAGAUGAG
rnacentral:lncRNA from 1 species